CUUUCUCUUUGUCUAUUUUUUUUUUUUUUUUUUUUUUUUGUGACGGAGUUUCGCUUUUGUUACCCAGGCUGGAGUGCAAUGGCGUGAUCUUGGCUCACCGCUACCUCCGCCUCCUGGGUUCAGGCAAUUCUCCUGCCUCAGCCUCCCGAGUAGCUGGGAUUACAAGCACGCGCCACUAUGCCCAGCUAUUUUUUUUGUAUUUUUAGUAGAGACGGGGUUUCACCAUGUUGACCAGGAUGGUCUCGAUCUCUUGACCUCGUGAUUCACCCGCCUCGGCCUCCCAAAGUGCUGGGAUUACAGGCGUGAGCCACCGCACCCGGCCCUUCUCUUUGUCUAUUAAACCUCCGCUCCUAAACUCCUCGUGUGUAUUCAUGUCCUAAAUUUUCUUGGCACAAGAUGAUGAACCCUGGGUAUUUACCCCAGACAGUGUAGCUGCUUCAUAUUGGAGACCUCAUCCAGGACACCAAGGUACAUCGUUCAUCAAAAUGGUGAGUAGAGGAGUGGACUCCAACUCUGUCCUUUCAUUUUGGAGCUCUCAGCCUCCAUUUUAUUUUAUUUUAUUUUGGGACAGGGUCUCCCUCUCUCAGCCAGGCUGGAGUACAAUGGUGUGAUCUUGACUCACUGCAACCUCUACCUCCUGGGUUCAGGUGAUUCUCCUGCCUCAACCUCCCAAGUAGGCUGAGAUUACAAGCCUGUACCACCAUGCUGAGCUAAUUUUUGUAUUGUUAGUAGAGAUGGGGUUUUGCCAAGUUGGCCAGGCUGGUCUUGAACUCCUGACCUCAGGUGAUCUGCUAGCCUCGGCCUCCCAAAGUGCUGGAAUUACAGGCAUGAGCCACCACAUCUGGCCUCCACUUUAGAACCAAGUCAAAUCAAUAACACGCAUCCUUCAGCCAUUUAAGAAUGAGAUUAGAGUGGCUGUGUUCUUAAAGACUUGGAUGUGAGGCUUGCUGGGGGCGGGAACAUGGAGAAUCCCCCAGUACCCACAGGUCACUGAGCACAUUAGCUAUGUUUGAACCAGCUUCCUUUCACAGAGGACUUAGCUGUCACAUGGGGCUGGAAGAGGACCUGUAAGCAACUGAGGAUUUCUGGCUGGGGCUAUCCCUGGUGUUAUCCAAAGGCUUCUGAACUGACCCCAGCCUCUGACCACCCAAUGGGGUAUCAGCAACAGGAUCUCCAACUUUCCUAUCAUCAUCUCCUCCUUUUCUGUCCAUGACCGCCAUGUCUCCUAUACUCUCUGUGCAUGCAGACAGUACCUCCUUCAGCCUGCAAAUAAAAUCCGGUGCAUCUGUCACUGGCCAGCCUUUUGCUCUCAGAAGUCCCCUCUCUCUCACUAGAAAGAGAGAGAGAGAGAGAGAGAGAGAGAGAGAGAGAGAGAGAGAGAGAGCGAGCGAGCGCUGUUUUCUCUUUCUCUUCCCUAUUAAACCUCCAGUCCUUAAAAAAAAAAAAAAAAAAAAAAAAGCCAGGCAUGGUGGCUCCCCAGAGCUUUGGGAGUCUGAGGUGGAGGAACCACCUGAGGUCAGAAUUUUGAGACCAGCCUGACAACAUGGUGAAACCUCAUCUCUACUAAAAACACAAAAAAUUAGCUGGGUGUGGUGGUGCAUGCCUGUAAUCUCAGCUACUCGGGAGGCUGAAGCAGGAGAAUCGCUUGAGUCUGGGAGGAAGAGGUUGCAGUGAGCCAAGAUCAUGCCACUGUACUCCAGCCUGGGUAACAGAGUGAGACUCCAUCUCAAACGAUAAAAAUAUGAAAAAAAACCUUCCACUGAUCUAGAUUAGUCCUACAUUCUAUGGUCAGGAAGACUGAGACCCAGAAAUACAUCAGUGACUUGAGUAAGAUCACACCAUGAAUGGGUGGGAAUCUGUAGAUGUGAUUUGGUGAGCAUUAAAGGUUAAGUUCACCAGACUUAGAAACAAACAGACCUGGGUUUUUGGUAUUGGCUAAACCACAAAAAUGGACAACUUGGAUAACUUCUCUGGACCUCAUAUCUCUUCUGUAAAAGGGGGCGUUUACUCUACAUUUCUCUGCUGUAAAAUUCUUCUAAUCCUUCACGUCCAGAGGGUCUAAUUGGGUAAUUUGUGUGCCCUCCUCUCACAGUGCCACCUCGUGGUUCGCGAUGAAUCCUGCAUCUUCUCUUCCUGCAGCAAAAUCUUUGUCAGGGGAAGAUAGAAAUCCUUCUCAGUUGAUGACCAAGAGAGGAAGCAGCAGGAGGAAGGCCAUGAGCCUGUUAACAUCAAGCUGGGGGAAGUGCCAGAAAGAUUCCAAGGUUCCUGACUGCAACAGCUCUGUGACCUUGGACAAGUUAUUUAAUUUUUCUAAGCCUCAGAUUGCAUCGUGGAGAGAGUUUUCUAGACAAGUCCAUACUUGAAGAUGGGUCAUGAAGGGUGAGAGGCCUCAGAGAAGCAGAGAAGGCUAUUCAAGCAGUGAUCAAGAAAUAGAAAAGGCUGGAAAUUGGACCAGGUGACCACUGGCAGUCCUCCAGAGUACUUCCUUGCUUUCUGGCACUACAAAAUGCUCUAGGAUGACAGAAAAACAAAGCAUGUAAAAGAAGAAAAAGAAGAUGCUCUGGGCUCAUCAUGUCUUUUCCCUGCCCACAUCCUAGAAACAGCCAUUUCUUCUUAGAUUCCUGGUUCCUAUGAUUGAAGAAUGGCAUUUAGAAGCUGAAAUCUGAGUCCCGGGUCAUUGCUCAUUGCUACCGGAAAAUAGACCUAUCUUUUAGAGUAUGAAAUAUACAUACAGAAGAGUACAUCAGGCAUCUAAAUAUAAAGAAUAAUUGGUUGGCUGCAGUGGCUCAUGCCGGUAAUCUCAACAUUUUGGAAGGCUGAAGUGAGUAGAUCACCUGAGGUCAGGGGUUUGAGACCAGCCUACCCAACAUGGUGAAAUCCUGUCUCUACGAAAAAUACAAAAAUUAGCUGGUUUCGGGGAUGGGCGCCUAUUAAUCCCAGCUACUCAGGAUGCUGAGGCGGGAGAAUCACUUGAGCCUGGGAACCAGAAGUUACAGCGAGCCAAGACUGCACCACUGCACUCCAGCCUGGGCGACAGUGCAAGACUCUGCCUCAAAAAAAAAAAAAAAAAAAAAAAAGAAUAAUUAUAAAUUGAACAGAAUAAAAUCUAAUUUUAGGAUUAAUUACGUUCAUUCCUUUGUAUCUUCCUCCUGAAACCUUCCCCUGACCUGCAAAGCCAGGAUUGGGUGGCUCCUAUGUGAACACUCGUAACACUUAGUACUUAUUCCUAUCCUGACUGCAUACUCAUGCAUGUCCAUGGUAAACAAGUCAGAAAAUGCAAAACGCCUAAAGAAGCUGGGUGCAGUGGCUCAUGCCUGUAAUCCCAGCACUUUGGAAGGCUGAGGCAGGUGGAUCACCUGAGGUUAGGAGUUUGAGACCAGCCUGACCAACAUGGAGAAACCCUAUCUCUACUAAAACUAAAAAAUUAGCUGGAUGUGGUGGCACGUGCCUGUAAUCUCAGCUACUUGGGAGGCUGAGGCAGGAGAAUCACUUGAAUCUGGGAGGCAGAGGUUUCGGUGAGCAGAGAUUGAGCCAUUGCACUCCAGCCUGGGCAACAAGAGUGAAAUGCCAUCUCAAAAAAAAAAAAAAAAAAGCCUAAAGAAGAAACAAAGUCAGCAUUAUUUUACCAUCUGGGGGAAAACUUCCUAUCAGAACGGUCUGAGGAUGGAAUUGGAUCCUUUUAAGGCUGCGCUUCAUUCACCAGCCCCAUGUGGCUAAUGAUCACAUUGAAAUGUAGCUGUUCUAUACCGAGAUUUUUUUAAAUUUAUUAUUUAUUAUGAUUAUUAUUUUUGAGACAGGGUCUUGCUCUGUCACCCAGGCACAAUCAUGGCUCACUGCAGCCUUGACCUCUUGAGUUCAAGAAAUCAUCCCACCUCAGCCUCUUUAGUAGCUGGGACUACAGCCAUGUGCCACCAUGCCCAAAUUUUUGUAUUUUUUGUAGAGACAGAGAUUUGUCAUCUUGCCCAGCCUGGUCUCCAACACCUAUACUCAUGCAAUCCUCCUGCCUUGGCCUCCCAGAGUGCU